rnacentral:lncRNA from 1 species
UAUAGUUGAUUUACAAUGUUGUGCCAAUUUCUGUUGUAUAGCAAAAUGACUCACUCAUACAUAUAUAUAUAUACAUACUUUUUAUAUUAUUUUCCACUAUGUUCUGUCUCAGGAGAUUGGAUGUAGUUCUCUAUGAUACACAGUAGGACCUUAUUGUUUAUCCAUUCUAAAUGUAAUAAUUUGCAUCUACCAACUCCAAGUUUCUAGCACUGCCCACUCCCUCCCUUCUGCCCCUGGCAACCACAAGUUUUUCUCUAUGUUUGUGAGUCUGUUUCUGUUUUAUAGAUAGGUUCAUUUGUGCUAUAUUUUAGAUUUUGCAUAUAAAUGAUAUCAUGGUAUUUGUCUUUCUCUUUCUGUCUUACUUUACUUAGUAGGAGAAUCUCUAGUUUUCACCCAUGAUGCUGCAAAUGGCAUCACUUCAUUCUUUUUUUUGGCUGAGUAGUAUUCCAUUAUGUGUAUGUACCACAUUGUCUUAGUCCACUCAUCUGUCGAGGGGCACUUAAGUUGUUGCCAUGUCUUGGCUAUUGUGAAUAGUGCUACUGUGAACAUAGGGGUACAUGUAUUCUUUUUUUUUUUUGUCUUUUUGUCUUUUUCUACGGCCACACCCAUAGCAUAUGGAGGUUCCCAGGCUAGGGGUCUAAUUGGAGCUGUAGCCACUGGCCUACACCACAGCCACAGCAACGCCAGAUCUGAGCCAUGCCUGCGACCUACACCACAGCUCAUGGCAAUGCUGGAUCCCUAACCCACUGAGCAAGACCAGGGAUCGAACCUGCAACCUCAUGGUUCCUAGUCAGAUACGUUAACCACUGAGCCACAACAGGAACUCCACAUGUAUCUUUUUGAAUUAUAGUUUUGUCUGGAUAUAUACCCAGGGAUGAGAUUGCUGGCUUAUGUGGUAGUUCUAUUUUUAGUUUUCUGAGGAAUCUCCAUGCUGUUUUCUAUAGUAGUUGCACCAACUUACAUUCCCACCAACAUUGUAGGAGGGUUUCCUUUCCUCCAUACCCUCUCCAGCAUUUGUUAUCGGUAGAUGGACAUUCUGACUGGUUUUAGGCGGUACCUCAUUGCAGUUCUGAUUUGCAUUUCUCUAAUAAUUAACUAUGUUGAGCAUCUUUUCAUGUGCCUACAAGGCUCAGUAAAUCUUUAUUGAUAUCUACCUAUUUUAUUUGUCUGAUGGAGAAGCCAUGCUACACUAAAUUACACCAGAACAGGAAAGAGAAGAUCUCUUUGGAACUACUACAAUGAGGAAAUAACAUUGGAAACUAUUAAGCUUUUUUAAUUACUAGUUAAAAUUUAUUAAAGCAAGAACUUUGUCUCAUCCCAUAGGAUCUAAGAUAGUCCGUGGUACAAAGUAAGUCUUAGUGGCUGGUUUGUGUUACACAGUUCUGAAAGGUCUGUAAUUUGUGCAUAAUGGAGAUCUAUGAUUUCAUGGACUAAAAGAUUCUACUGUAUCUAAUCUUGUAGAGGUAAUAUUUUUCUUUGGAACAUUCUCUGGUUGAUGGUCUUCAACAACUUUCUACUCCUAUUCCAAUAAAAAUAAAUCAUAAGUGAAUAACAAUAUUAAAUUAUUCUUUAGUUUCCAUUACCAGGGAGCACUCUAAGCAAUAUAUGGAAACAUAAAAGGAAAAGGCAGUUUCUAAGUUAAUGACAAUUUAAACUAUGUAGCACUUUUAAGACAAAAAUUUUAAAAAUGCAGAUAUACAUUUAUAUAUAUUAAUGUUAUUUAUAUGUGUUUUAAUAUAUACUUUCUAAAGUAUUUGCAUUUUAAUCUGGUUCCUUCCUCUCUUCCUUUUUUAAAAUCUCUCAUUCUCCUCACAUGUGUAAACAGCAGAAAUAGGCAUGUGAGAAGUAUCACAAACCUGUAGACAUUUUCACUCACCUCUGUGAGUGAAUAAAUAGGGAAAGCACUUGUGUUUGCUGUACAUGUAUUACCUAUGAACUUGAACCAUAUAAAAUUGUACUUUUUCUAGAUUAAAAUGGUCAGAUAUUGACUAGUUCAUAGAGUUCAGGUAAUAUAUUACAAAUUUCGUUCCACUGGUGUUCUGUGAUAAUAAAAUAUUUCCUCCUCUUUUUUAUGUUUAAUGAAACUAUACUCAGUGUAUACAGAACUGCUCAUAAUUCUAAAGCUGAUUGGUAUUCUAUUUUCUGGUUUGGUUAACUCAAUCAGUUAAGACACUAUACUACUGAGCCAUUUAAUUUAUCAAUAAAAUAUCUGCAAAUGUGGGUUUUUAAUUACAAAGAAGAGCUAGUAAAGGGGUAUGGAUUUUUCCUUGUCCAUCCAAGGUUUAUUUCUCUUAUAGUAACUUCUUCCUCCAUUAUUUUCCCUAAUAUCCCGAAGUAUAAACUUUCAUCUCUCUCCAUUUAAUGCAAAUUUCAGCCCUCCUACCAACUCUUUACUGCUUAUUAGAGAAGUCAUGGCUCAGGAAAAAAAUUAAUAGUCCAUAGUUUGCACAUUUUUAAGAGUUUUUUUUUUCAAAACUAAAUUUAAAAAUGUGGUUGGAGGUGUUUUCAUAAGGAUAAAUGAAUUUCUUAAGACAUUUUCAUUGUAGCAUUUAUUAUUUUUUAUUUCUCAAAAUAUUUUCUUUAAAUUAUGCAUGAUGAUUAUGUUUAUGCAAAUAUUCCUAAAUAUGAUGCAAGUUAGUCCCCUAUAAUCCAUAUGCAUAAUAUAUCAUAAUUUUCUUUUGCUCCACUUGUCACAUUUAUAAUCAAAUACUUACUUGUAAUAUUAUUUUGAAUUAUAUAUUGAGAGAAAAUAUGUAUUCAUUAAUGAAGAUUUAUUAAUUAUGAAUUAAUUACUGCAGUAAAUACAGAAACUUUUACAGUGCCAGACACAUAAUAGGUGCUUAUACUUUCUGACUAAAUAUCUGGAUGAUUGAAAUAGUAUAGUAUAAAUCAAAAUACAAAGGCACAUAAUUGUGAAAUUGGAUCAUGAAAAUGCUAACUUUCUUGAGCAGGUAAAACUCAAAAAAAAAGGAAACACAAAUGGUUAAUAAUUCUACAAGAAAAGGUUAAACCUAACUAAUGAUUAAAGAAUUAUAAAUUAAAGCAACAAAAUGCCAUUUUUACUUAUCAGAUUGGCAAACUUUAAAAUGGUUGAUAAUAUCUAGUGCUGGUAAGAAUGUGGUGAAAUGUUUAUGCUUGUAUGCCUUUGGAGGCAACAUAAAUUAGUGCGGCUCUUAAGAGAAAUUUGCCUUAUCUUUUAAUAUUUAUAGUUACUGUCUAAUGACUCAGCAAUCAUGCUUAUAGGCAUUUAUCCUAUAAAUCUAUUCAGGCAAGUGAGAGGUGAUACAUGCCCCAGUUUGUAUAUUGUAGUAUUUCAAAAAAUGAAGGGAAAAAGCUAGAAACAGUAAACAUUUUACCAUUUUUUUUGAAUAAAACUCACAACUAUUGAAGCUAAUUUCUUUUAUGCUUAUUGAAGAGAGAGGAUUUGGGAAUGAGAGGAUGAUUUUUCUUCUAAAAUAUCCUUUAUAUACAUAUAUUCUGUCAAAUGGGCUGCAGCCUUUUAUUACUGUAGAUAAUUGUAUUAUUUGUUAUUGAUCUUUCUUCAGAUGACAACAUUUAUUAUUUUUACAGAAAUUGUGUAAAUGAGGAAAACUGUAAAAAGAUUUUUCCUCUCAGUUUAUUUUGCGGCAAGUGUCAGUCUUUACUGUGAAUGUAAAUUUCAGGGUUAAAAUUAAUAAUCCUAGAAGGAGAAGUGCAAAUCAUACAACCUCCUCUCUUACCCAGGUAAAAGUUUAAGGAAAACACAAAUGAAUCACGCAUUUCUGUAUAAUCUGUGCUUUUGUCAAAAGGUUGCCAUGACUCAUUUAUGACUUUCCAUAGUUUUAAAACCAGUGUUUUUAACCAUAGAAAAUCUACUUCAUGGUCCUAUUAUGACAACUGUUGAGUCAAUAAUAGACUCUUUAGUUCAUGCAUGGAUGUUUUUGUAGAAAUAAACCAAGUACAACUGUCCCUUGCUAAUACUCCAUGAAGCGGAAUCCUAAACAAAGAAAGAGAGAGAUUAUAAAACCAACUUCUCCUACAUGCAUUACUUUGGGUGCUAUAUACUGUGUGGGGUGCCAGAGAUACCACCUCAUUUGAUUGUCAUAGCUCCCUGAAGGAUCAGCUACAGCUCAAGGAUCAAGUAGCUGCUAAGAAUGCAAAGGACUAGAUUUGAACCCAAAUUCAUAUGAUUUCAAAUAUCACUUACAGGUCCAAAUGACCAGGCAGUCCUGACUUAAUUCAGUGCAACAUCUGUUCUUUCUUUUAGCUAGCCCCACAGUGAUCAGGAUCAGAUCUUUGGGACAGUAUUCUGUGAAAUAAAUGCUUUGCUACUCAGUUAUAAGCAGCGUACCCUGGCAUUGAGAUAGAAACAAUAUUUAUGGAUCAUUCUAAUGUAUCGUUUUAACCAAAACCUGACUAGUAUCCAUGAGGAUGCAGGUUUGAUCCCUGGUCUCGCUCAGUGCAUUCAUGAUCUGGCAUUGCAAUAAGCUGUGGUGUAGAUUGCAGACGCAGCCCUAGUCCUGUGUUGCUGUGGCAUACAUAGGCCAGAAGCUGCAGCCCUGAUUUGACCCCUAACCUGGGAACUUCCAUGUGCUACAGGUGUGGCCUUGAGAGCAAUAAAUAAAUAAAUGAAUAAAUAAAAAGUCCUCUGGAUUUCCAACAUUGGUAAUAAUAAACACCCCUUUAAAAAGUGGGCAUUACCUGUGGGUAUUCUUUUGAAGUCAUUCUUCUUUAGAGGGAUUGCAUUAAAUGAAUUGACUUUGACUUGGCCACGAAGAGAGGAAAACUUGCUUCAAUAAUUCAGAAUAUUUCAGGAGCUUAAUUCCUCAAGAAAAUAUUUUAUUUGCCUCAUUUUUCCUUUGAGGUCCCUUUCAAGCUGCAUACUUUAUUUUAGCUCUCAAUUCAUUUCAUUUUGUGUAGAAAGAAUAGUAAUAAUAAAAAAAGGACACUGCAGAAAUUGAGAUAAUACAGCUGUUUCUACUACCAUGUCUUUAUGUCUCUUUAAAAGCAACAAAAGGCUCAUAAACAUUAGAAUUAACUGAGAGUGAAAUCCCAUCUCUUAGCCAUAUAUCACAUUUCUUAUAUCAUAGCACUUACUUAAAAGUCAUGUUACUGUUUUCUUUAACUCAGAAGCUCUGACUCAAGAAUAAUAUGCCCCUAACAUGACUGAUGUGUCUCUUAUAACUACAUAGGGUAAAAGCUUAAACUAUUGUGUGUGCCUGGAGUUGCUGCUCUAUCAUCUUAGUUAAUUUUCUUCAUGUCCCAUGUUUUGUUGUCUCUCAUAAGUGACUGUAUUUAAGAAAAAGAGAAAAUUGGGUGUGGUUAUUUAUGCAGGUCCUAUGGUUAAUACACUCCUAAAGUAGGUACCUGCUAUCUUUAUUACUGCAAACACCAGAUUCUAUGGUUCAUGUUUGGAAAGAAAAGAAUAAACAAUUUUAGCAUACAAAAUUGAGAUGAAUUGCAACUCUAUGGUUUGAGCAAUUUGAAUUCUUAAGAUACAUGUCCUAGUUAUAUAUUGAGAGGUUUAUUAAUUAAACCCAGCUUGAUCUCUGGACCUCAUGUGCUAAGAACUUUAAUUUGAAGGCUUGCCUACUUUGCUUUUGAUGCCACUUAGGGUCCAAAAUUAUUGUACUGAAAUAGUUCUCAAACCCUGAUUCAACUUUAAUGAGGAGAAAUCACAUUAUUAGAUCAUCCAAACACUUCUAUUUACCAGUCACAUCUUGUCACAGCUUUAGUAGCAGCUAUCCACAGAUAUAAGUUUUCACAAAUGAAAAAUCAGGAUAGGAAAGGCAGGUGUCACCUAGAAAAUCUUGAACUCUUUCCAAGAGGCAUUUUGUUGAAUUGCUAAACUGAUAAACUUAGGUUCUCUCACAAGGCUCCAGGGAGGAGCUCAUCAAGCACGUGGUAGCUCCCCGCCCCCAACAGCCAUCAUUAAGUAGAAACCCCUAAGUUUAGAAAAAUAUAAAAUGUUCCUAUCAGUCACGAUUCUUAAGAAAGCCCAUUCGAAUUGUGAUUAAGUUAAAUAGGAAGCCCCUGAAAUUCAAGUCUGCAUAUUUUUUUCUUAGAGCAAAUGUUUUUAAUUUAAUCAAAGAAGAAAAUGAAAAAGACAUGUCUUUCAUAUUUACCAAUGCCUUCAUUUGUUUUCAGAUGCCUCCUCCUCCUACCUCUUAAAUUCAGAUAUUUCUUGAGGAUCCUCAUUGUAGGUGCCUCUUUGAAAGGCUUUCACUUCCUACUCAACUAGCAUCUCUGCAUACAGCACUCCAGGUCAUAAUCUUUUCUCUUUUUGGGAUCCACAUUCUGAAUAUUUAUUGGCUAUGGAUCCAAUUCUGCCACUAAUUUUACUUUUUAAAUUACUCAUGAAGCAGCUCCUGUUAUAAGCACUUUACGUGCAUUUGCUCAUUUAAGUCUUACCACAAAUAGUAAAGAGUACAUUAUGGUUCUUGAUGUACAGAAAGGGAAACAGAAACUUAAAGAAAGGUUAAGAGGAAGCUGCUCCAAACUGACCCAGCUAGUGAGAGACAGAGCUGGGACUUCAGCCUAGGUGGUUCUUCCUCGAAAGCCUGUGAGCUUGACCACUAGGCUGUUGGAAAUCACUUUUCUCACUCUGGUUUGAAACCUGAGCAGAAACAAAUCCCACCAGUAUCCGUGAGGAGGAUGUGGGUUUGAUCCCUGGCCUCACUUGGUGGGUUAAGGAACCAGUAUUGUCGUGAGCUAUGGUGUAGGUUGCAGACAUAGUUUGGAUCUGGCAUUGCUGUGGCUGUGGUGUAGGCCAGCAGCUGCAGUUCCAAUUAAACCCCUAGCCUAGGAACCUCCAUAUGCCACCGGUGUGGCUC